GCAAACUUGGUCAUUUAGAGGAAGUAAAAGUCGUAACAAGGUUUCCGUAGGUGAACCUGCGGAAGGAUCAUUAACGUAUCUCUGGCGGAGACUCUGCGCCCUGCUCCGGUCCCAAACGGGUCCGUGCAGCGGGCGAGGGGUCCCGUCCAACCUUUGCAAACCCACGUGCACAUUGACGGUGGAAGGGCCCUCUGGGGCUCGGAAGCCGCUUCACAAACACACAAAACUCGAAUGUCUAGCGGCCUCUGUGUCGCCUAAAUUUGAAACAACUUUCAACAACGGAUCUCUUGGCUCUCGCAUCGAUGAAGAACGCAGC
rnacentral:misc_RNA from 1 species